rnacentral:rRNA from 1 species
UACAGAGGGUGCGAGCGUUAAUCGGAAUUACUGGGCGUAAAGCGUGCGUAGACGGUUAUUUAAGUCGGAUGUGAAAGCCCCGGGCUCAACCUGGGAAUUGCAUUCGAGACUGAAUAGCUAGGGUGCGGUAGAGGGAAGCGGAAUUUCCGGUGUAGCGGUGAAAUGCGUAGAUAUCGGAAGGAACAUCAGUGGCGAAAGCGGCUUCCUGGACCAGCACCGACGUUGAGGCACGAAAGCGUGGGGAGCAAACAGG